rnacentral:rRNA from 1 species
UGGGGAAUAUUGCACAAUGGGGGAAACCCUGAUGCAGCGACGCCGCGUGAACGAAGAAGGUAUUCGUAUCGUAAAGUUCUGUCCUAUGGGAAGAUAAUGACAGUACCAUAGAAGAAAGCUCCGGCUAAAUACGUGCCAGCAGCCGCGGUAAUACGUAUGGAGCGAGCGUUGUCCGGAAUUAUUGGGCGUAAAGGGUACGCAGGCGGUUUAAUAAGUCGAAUGUUAAAGAUCGGGGCUCAACCCCGCAAAGCAUUGGAAACUGAUAAACUUGAGUAGUGGAGAGGAAAGUGGAAUUCCUAGUGUAGUGGUGAAAUACGUAGAUAUUAGGAGGAAUACCAGUAGCGAAGGCGACUUUCUGGACACAAGCUGACGCUGAGGUACGAAAGCGUGGGGAGCAAACAGG